GUGCCAGCCGCCGGGGUAAUACGGAGGGUGCAAGCGUUAUCCGGAAUCAUUGGGUUUAAAGGGUGCGUAGGCGGAGCAGUAAGUCAGCGGUGAAAGCCUACGGCUUAACCGUGGAAUCGCCAUGGAUACUGCUGUUCUUGAGGACGGCCGAAGUGGGCGGAAUGCGUCAUGUAGCGGUGAAAUGCAUAGAUAUGACGCAGAACACCGAUCGCGAAAGCAGCUCACUAGACCGUAACUGAUGCUGAGGCACGAAAGCGUGGGGAGCGAACAGGAUUAGAAACCCGAGUAGUCC
rnacentral:rRNA from 1 species